rnacentral:rRNA from 1 species
AUUGAACGCUGGCGGCAUGCCUUACACAUGCAAGUCGAACGGCAGCACGGGAGCAGUCCUGGUGGCGAGUGGCGAACGGGUGAGUAAAGUAUCGGAACGUGCCCAGUCGUGGGGGAUAACGUAGCGAAAGUUACGCUAAUACCGCAUACGAUCUAUGGAUGAAAGCGGGGGAUCGCAAGACCUCGCGCGAUUGGAGCGGCCGAUAUCAGAUAGGUAGUUGGUGGGGUAAAGGCUCACCAAGCCGACGAUCUGUAGCUGGUCUGAGAGGACGACCAGCCACACUGGGACUGAGACACGGCCCAGACUCCGACGGGAGGCAGCAGUGGGGAAUGUUGAACAAUGGGCGAAAGCCUGAUCCAGCCAUGCCGCGUGCAGGAUGAAGGCCUUCGGGUUGUAAACUGCUUUUGUACGGAACGAAAAGGUUUGGGCUAAUAAGCUGAGCUCAUGACGGUACCGUAAGAAUAAGCACCGGCUAACUACGUGCCAGCAGCCGCGGUAA